CGCCGUGGCGUAGUGGUUACGCCAUCGCUCUGCAAGCUGUGCGACCCGGGUUCGAGUCCCG
rnacentral:tRNA from 1 species